GUUAGAUUGGGCCAUGUGCUGAAAUCACCGAGCGCAAAUGGAACUCAUCCUGAAUGCUUCUUAUAUCAGUGAAAUGUUUUAUUCCCUUUCAAAGCAAUCGCCAAAAAAUGUGCCAAAUACAGGAAGGGAGUGAUUUAAGACACUGUUUAAAAAUGGGCGAGAAAAUGGUUUAGCCCUUGUGUCUGUUACAAUGUCCCCUUGCACUAGGGAGUCUGUGGCGCAAUGGGUGUGUCUGGCUGUUCACCAGAAGUUUGGUGGUUCGAGGCCACCCAGGGAUGGCUGUGGGCAGGAUUCCUGCAUAUCAGGGAGUUGGAGCAGAUGGCCCUCGGGAUCUCUUCCAACUCUACGAUUCUAUGAGUGCAGUUAUCCCCAUCUGUGGGAGUUCCUGAGCAUACUAAUUUGUUCUAUAAGUCAAUGUAUGUUAUUGCAGAGUGCUAGCAUGCAGUGAGAGAUUUUACUUUCUUGGGUUCCAUGAUCACUGCAGAUGGUGACAGCAGUCACGAAACUAAAAGACGCCUGCUCCUUGGGAGAAAGGCGAAUUCAAAUCAUGAUUCCACAGAGAAGAGAGCAGAUUCUUAAAUCACAUGUUCUUAUCAUCUUCCUAUGAUCAAAUCUAGAUCUACCUAUGCAUGAUGCAACAAUUAUCAACAUGAGAGUUCCUGUUAUAUCCAAAAUGGCAGAACUUGUGGCAUGACCCAGCCAGUGAAAAGCACUUUUAAGCCCCAUACACAUCAAGAGGGGAGUUGGCAUGUGUUAAAUCGGGAUAGUCCACGGAGAUGAAGCAUUUAUAAGCCUCAGAGUCUACCAAGUUCAAAAACAUCUUGGACAGGAUUUACAACAGGAGCUGUGGGUUACACACUGCAAAAAUUUUAAAGGUUUUCAGUGGUCUUAUGUUAAGAAUGAGAAAACCCAGUCUUUUCAUAAUUUUGACAAGCAGGCAAUUCAAUCUUUUAGGCUUUCUAAUUUACAGUCCAAGCAAAUUAAAUAAUAAAAAGCUCUGACAGUUUUGCUCGAAACUUCAAACAAAAAAAGCUCUGACAGUUUUGCUCGAAACUUCAAACAAUCUUUUCUUCAUGAUUUGGCCCAAUCACGAUUCUAGUAUACUAAGUAAAUAUUGGUAUGUUUCAAAUUUUAUUUUUAUAAAUUUGUGGGCAGCAACUCUAAAAACGAUUUCAAAAAGAGGCUUGUGAAUUUGAAUGCUUUAGUGUGUUGUACUAAUGUAACUUUCUUGGGAUGCAAUUUAUUAGUUCAGGGUCAGGGAAACUGUGGCCCUACGGAUGUUGCUGUGCUACAAAUUCCAUUAUCCCUGACAGCUGCCCAUGCUAGCUGGGGCUGAUAGGAGUCCAACAACAUCGGGAGGGCCACAGUCUCCCACCCCUGUAGUAAUUUGAACUAGUACCUUAUUGAGCAACCAGGUCUAUAAGAGAGCACACAGGAUUCAAAGUCAGCUAUAUUAUAUGCAAAAGCAAGCCUCCUGGCUUUCCCCCACCUCCCGCAAGAGCUGUGUGCUCCUUAAAGGGAGCGCGGCUCUUGGGGGCUUUUCUGGGAGGUGGGGGAAGGGCAGCCCUUCUCCCUCCUCAGGGAAAAGCCUCGAAGAGCCGCACACACGCUCCACAUGGCUCUUUAAAGGGAGUGCUGAGCAGAGCCUCCCGCCUGCAUUCGCUCCAUAAGACGCACACACAUUUCCCCUUACUUUUUAGGAGGAGAAAAGUGCGUCUUAUAGAGCAAAAAAAUACGGUGCCAUAGAAAGAUCGACAUUUUCAAAAGUUAGGGGUCCAUGGCUUGGCAUUUGAAAAACAGGGGGGCUUCAGUUCUUAGUUAAAUGGAAACCACUGAUUUAUAUCAGUGUUUCCCAAACUUGGACCAUCAUCCCUGACCACUGCUCUUGCUAGCUAGGGAUGAUGGGAGUUGUAGUCCAAACACAUGGAGACCCAAGUUUGGGAAACACUGAUGUAUAUGAUCAUACUUUUGGCAGGACCUUGCAGGUUCAUCAGUGUUAGCCUCAUGUACCUAGAGCAUUCCUAUCAGACCCAUGUCUUCCUUUUCUCUUGAAAGCUGCUGAGUGUCUUGGGUACAGUGUUGGCAGUGCUUUGCUCAGGAGCCAUCCUUCCAUCGUCUUCUACUACUUCUUCUUCUUUUAAGCCAGUGCAAUCAGUCCCUCAAAAGCCCAGUGUGGAGGAUUAAUAUUUUAUGCAUGAAAUGUUCCAUGUACAGUAGUGACAUAAUAAGAAGAGGCAUUUUAUUAGUCUGUGCAUGCAAGAAGAAUGGAUUACAGAAACAGGAAGUGUGUAACCACCUGCAUCGAGAUGCCAUUUUAUUAACACCCAGGUUGCUCAUUUUAUGGACAGUGGACUUCAGCCUUUCCAGCUUCCCUUUUUUAAAUAAUCUGAUUUCAUUUUCUUUGCCAAACCCCGUCUGAAGAGGAGCACCCCGUUUGGGUCCUCCUCCUCCUCCUCGCAAUGAAUAUCUUGAGCAGAAAGUAACCCAUGUGGAAAGGCUCUGAGCAAAGAGCUACAGCUGCUGCCACUUACGCUCCAGAGCACAAUUUUAGGAAUUAAUAGCUUCUAAUCCUGAAAAAUAAUAUAGAUACAGAAUGGUGUUAGAUUCCAAGCUGCCAAGAUGAAGUCUCUUGCUUUUACUUCAUAAAUAUGUUUAUAAGAGGAUGCCCUAAUCUCUUUAAGAGUAAGGAGAAGCUGCUGAGAUCCCACUCUGUGUUAGAAGCUGAAGUCAUCAAGCGACUGAAAGCUCUUCACUGACAUUAAGGGCAAACUGUGUUGUUUCUCGAUUUCAAUCAAUCAAUCAAUUUGUUGUGUAUAGCCAAAGGCCUUUACAAUGAACAGCAGAGGACAAGAGCAAGGCUUUCCUCUGAAAUGGCACAACGUAGCCUAUAAAAGUUUACUGCAUCAGAGCCAUAGCUAGGUGAUCUUGCUCCCCUGGCAGAACCAUCCAGAUUGUGCCCCCAAAGUAAAGGUAAAGGGACCCCUGACCAUUAGGUCCAGUUGUGGCCGACUCUGGGGUUGCGGUGCUCAUCUUGCUUUAUUGGCCGAGGGAGCCGGCGUAAAAUAUCCAGGUCAUGUGGCCAGCAUGACUAAGCCGCUUCUGGAGAACCAGAACAGCUCACAGAAAUGCCGUUUACCUUCCCACAGUACCUAUUUAUCUACUUGCACUUUGACAUGCUUUCGAACUGCUAGGUUGGCAGGAACAGGGACCGAGCAACUGAGCUCACCCCGUUGCAGGGAUUCGAACUGCCAUCCUUCUGAUCGGCAAGUCCUAGGCUCUGUGGUUUAACCCACAGUGCCACCCGCGUCCCAUUGUGCCCCCUAGUCAUGGACAAAUUAGCUCUUCUUUCUGCCUCUCCUCCACCCCCCCAUUCAAUUCACCCUCCAUUUAAAACCAUUUCUUAUGAGGCAAUCAUCAAUAUUUAUAUUUUUGGAUAUAUUUUUAAGCCGAUUUUGCGUCCCUCCCAUUGCCUGCACCCCUGGCGGUGCCCCAACACACCACCCCCUAGCUACAGCUCUGUACAGCAUAAAUGUUUGAAAGCAUUAGCGUAGCUGGAACCGAUCUUCUUAGGUAACGGAGCAAAUUUGGCUACCAGGUGUGUAAUUUGUAGAUCUUUAUUAGCUAAGAGUUCAACAUUCACUUCCUGGGGGGAUCGGCCUGAGAACCAGUUGAGAAUAGGCAAUAGAAUUUUUUUAUCUGGGCAUUGUAUAUUAGGGGCAAAUUAGCAGGUAGUGCACAAUAUCCUCAACCUGAUUGCAUCCAUAACUGGGAAGACAAUUAGAAGAUGCUUCUUCGGUGUCGAUAAGAAUCCAAUCCUGCUCCUGCCAUUUAACUUCAGGGACUCAUAAAUAUUUUGUGCUUUGGUCAAUGUGAAUGAGCUCGCUGCCCUCGUUUCAAAAUUACAGGCUGCCAAAGACUCUUCCAUUGAUAAUGGACUUUCAACAAACUACUUUCUUGCCUAUAGAAAGAAAGUUGCAAGCCCAUCCCAUGAAGACUAAGUGCUGAAACCAUUCAACAGUUGCAGAACAUGAAUAAUAAGACUCCUUCCCCACCUGUGCGGUGUAUUCUGCUGCCCAAGUGUUGGGACACUGGAAGUUGGGAUGCAUGUUCUAUUAUAUACUUGUUGUUGUUGUUUAAAUGCUAGGAUCAUUUGAAUGAUCAAAAAAAUCCUCCAAAAGCAAGAAACUUAAUACACACUUUAGUACCUGGGUUUUUGUAGAAAAUCAAAUCAGGCGAAGAGAUUGCUCUUCCAAAACACAAAAAAGCUCUCCCAAAUGUGUACUGAGGAACAACUUCCACAGAAUCUAUUGACACCUCAUUCCCACCCCUUUCUUCUUAGGGUAAACUAUGGCUGCAUUCAGACGUAACUUUUCCCCACUUUUCUGAUGUUUCCUUACCUGAUAAAUUCCAUGUUUUAUCUGAUCGUAAAAGCCACUUCUGGAAAUCUGGGGGGAUCCAGCAGAAGUUUAGGGCUCAUUCUGUUUUACUUGGUUUGAGUGGGGGGGGGAUCUGUUAGCCUCCCUGUUAACGCAUUGGGGAGUUUUGUGCUGUAAUUCUCCUGCCAUUUUCAUGGAUCAUGCUGUUGUUGUUGUUUAGUAGUUUAGUCGUGUCCGACUCUUCGUGACCCCAUGGACCAGAGCACGCCAGGCACUCCUGUCUUCCACUGCCUCCCGUAGUUUGGUCAGACUCAUGCUGGUAGCUUCGAGAACACUAUCCAACCAUCUCGUCCUCUGUCGUCCCCUUCUCCUUGUGCCCUCCAUCUUUCCUAACAUCAGGGUCUUCAUGGAUCAUACCAUGUGACAAAACUGGGUUCAGUAUUGCAACAGUUAUUUCUGUCUAUGUUCAUGGGUAAACCAUGGUGGAACAGAAGCAUGCUUGCGCAUAAACAUCCAGUUAUGUCCGCUGUUGUGUCACACCACACCUAUUGGUGUGAAUUAAAUUUAGUGCAACAGCAUGGUGUCUUGGCAAUCAAAAAACUAGAGUUCCAUAAUGCAAGUGUUAAUGCAGUGUAAAAGGAACAUUGGAAACUGGUCCAGAAGCACUAGAAUUGUAACCAGGAAAGCUAAAACAGCAACAGCAGAAGGCUGAUCGCUGAAGAAUUGAUGCUUUUGAAUUAUGGUGCUGGCGGAGACUCUUGAGAGUCCCAUGGACUGCAAGAAGAUUAAACCUAUCCAUUCUUAAGGAAAUCAGCCCUGAGUGCUCACUGGAAGGGCAGAUCGUGAAGCUGAGGCUCCAAUACUUUGGCCACCUCAUGAGAAGAGAAGACUCCCUGGAAAAGACCCCGAUGUUGGGAAAGAUGGAGGGCACAAGGAGAAGGGGACGACAGAGGAUGAGAUGGUUGGACAGUGUUCUUGAAGCUACCAGCAUGAGUUUGACCAAACUGCGGGAGGCAGUGGAAGACAGGAGUGCCUGGCGUGCUCUGGUCCAUGUGGUCACGAAGAGUCGGACACAACUAAACAACAACAACAACAACGAAACAGCAACCCCCAUGUCUGAAUGAAGCCUAUAUGCAGUCAUAGAAUAGUAGAAUUUUAGUUCUGGAAGGUACAUCAAAGGUCACACAAUGCAAUUCCCUGCAAUGCAGCUGCAGUUCCUUCAGCUUCUCCUGGUAUGUGCCCAAUCGCAUCCCACCACAAAUGGAGAUGUUUGUGCAGCUACUUCCCAUAACCCUUAUCAUAGCUCCACUGAAUUGUUGGGGAUGGCAUUGUGGAGAACAUGGCUUCACCUUUGUUGUAGACAGCAUGAUUUUGGCCAACUGGGUGGCACAUGAUGGGCAUUCUAGAUUAUGCAAGGAAGAUCUCAAAGGAAAAUGCACACACAGAAUGUUUGCCUUCAUAGGUAAAGGUAAGAAACACCUGCAUGGAUCUCUGGAUUACAUCCAGGUUUGAACAACCACCUUACUGUGUAAAACACCCUUCCCUAGACUAGGGACUCCAGAUCAUGGAAAUAUAGAAUUGUAGAGCUGGAAGGGACCAAUCCCCUGCAAUGCAGGAAUCUCAGCUAAAGCAUCCACGACAGAUGAUGGAUUACAAUUUUCAUGAAAUUCUACUCAAUAUUAAUUCAGGGUAGAUUCCAGUGUAUAGUUAGCAGAGUAAAAACUGAAAUAUGUUGCAGGAUUCCCCCCAAAAUACAUCAGAGGCAACAGCAAUUCAUCCAGCAGAGCUUUAUUGCUACUGAAGGCAAAUGAGCAUAAUGGUCACAAAUCCAAUUCAUUCAGGAUUGACACUGUCCAUAAGAAAUCCAGUUGCAGCAGACUUAACUUAAACUUACAAUAAUGUAUAAUAUGUCUAAACCUUAAUACUAAGCAUACUAUGUACAGAACACCACACCAGCAGGAAGAGAGAUAGAAAGAGAAAAUGAAACCCAGACUCCUUCUGGCCUUACUUUUAUAGUCAGCACGACCUUCACAGAAAGAGAAGAGAACCAGUUUAAGCCAGCUGUACUCAACUUCUCUGAAGGAAUAACCCAAACAUCAGGAACCUUCUGCUUGUUUCUUUCACACAGAGAAGCUUCCAGAACCCUCUUGAAUCAAGUAGAAUAGGAAAGAUCUCUACACAUCAGGUCAAUACUUUCUGUACUAAGAAAUGCAAACUGACACAUUUCUCACCAGCCCCACCCGUGGGAGCUGUAGUCCAGAACAUCUGAGAGGGGCUGCUUUAAAGCAAAUGUUUGUCAGAUUCUAGAAAGAUUACCUUUUCGCUACCUCCAACCUCCCUUUUGUCACUUAGAACAGGCUUCCUCAAUCUCGGCCCUCCAGAUGUUUUUGGCCUACAACUCCCAUGAUCCCUAGCUAGCAGGACCAGUGGUCAGGGAUGAUGGGAAUUGUAGUCUCAAAACAUCUGGAGGGCCAAGGUUGAGGAAGCCUGAUUUAGAAGAAAUGAACAGGAUAGGAUGCACUGGAAAGCAAGGGAUAGCAUUGUCUCAAUGCAACAUCAGUUAAUCUCCCUGGCCACAAAAUCAGGAUGAAUGCUCAGUCAAUACGACACCUGGAAGCAAGCUAGAUGUAGAUGUGCAGUCCCAUCUAGAAUCACUAGUUGUUGCACGUGGAUAGUUUCACAUCACAAGAGCUGGAUGAGGACCUUUGAUCUUGGCUGUGGUAUUUCCUCAUUGUUUUCAUUUUUGCAACAGGGCAGAAUUGUACGUGAGAGAGUUCUCCAGAGGUGUGCCCCAUCACUGAAAUGCAGGAGUGAUAACUGUCAGUGAUCUUUGCCAUUGACCUUGGCUUUGUCCAGCGUGAGUUUUCCACUCUUCACUAAACAAAAAAUUAAAAAUUAAAGCAAGGCUGUUGCUUUGUAGCUUUCGGUAACAUGGACAUAGUAUGACGUGAGGCUGUCAAGGCUUUUUAACAAUCAUUAAAACCUUCCCCUGAGGGAUAUUUUCAAUCAGACUGCAUUACACUCAGAGCGGACUUUGUGUGUUGAAACUUCACUUGCUUGUCACAGGGAAGCAUCAGAAAUGAGCUGCCUGUAAUGUUUAUGGUCCAUUCAGUGAAUUUGCUCUACAUCAUAAUAAUCCUUCAUUUCACAGGGAAGGUAUGCCGUCAGUGCUGGGCUGUUGAAAGCUGAGACCCUCUGGAUUUUAACAAGAAUCUAUGGAGCACCCAAAAGUGAAGUUGGGCCUUCUUGCAACUAUAAACCUCAGGUCCUUCAUUUUGACCAAACUUGCUGCACACAUUUAUUUUUAGCUUAAUUGAAGCAUAACCCAUUCCCCUGAAUAAAAACAUUCAAAGCAAAUACCUUCUCUCCUUGCCCC
rnacentral:lncRNA from 1 species